rnacentral:rRNA from 1 species
GAUGGUCUUCCUGGGGGAGGCAGCAGAUCACGGGCAAGGAGCAAAGGGCCGGAGCUUUCCGUCCCCGUCCUACGGGAGGCAGCAGGCCUUCCAGCGGAUGAGGGAACUGCAACAGGCCGACCCCGGCCAUCUGCAUCGUCGUGGUGGUCGCGCCGACAUAGGGAGUGAAAUUGGGCAGAACGAUUCCUACGGGAGGCAGCAGUGGGGAAUAUUGGACAAUGGGGGAAAGCCUGAUCCAGCAAUGCCGCGUGUGUGAAGAAGGCCUUCGGGUUGUAAAGCACUUUUAUCAGGAACGAAAUCUGCAUGGUUAAUACCCGUGUAGUCAGACGGUACACGAGAAUAGC